AGCCGUGUGCUAGAAACAGAGCGAACUAUUCUUUCGCCUUUUACUAAAGAAUACCGUGUUUCUGGCACUUUGUGCGGCAUACUUCAAUUUUUGAAAGAGUCUUAUUAUCUAGGACU